ensembl:misc_RNA Metazoa_SRP Metazoan signal recognition particle RNA
GCUGGGUGUGGUGGUGCAUGCCUGUGGUCCUAGCUACUUGGGAGGCUGAGGCAGGAGGAUCAUCUGAGCCUGGGAGGUUGAGGCUGCAGUGAGCUGUGAUUGGGCCACUGCACUCCAGCCUAGGAAACAAAGUGAGACCCUGUCUCAA